rnacentral:lncRNA from 1 species
GGAUUAUAAAAUCUCACCACUCUCCUUUCCACCCAUUUCAGGUUCAGAUUAGGCUGUAGAUAGUUGAGUUCAUCGAGGACUACCCUUGGAUUUGCAUUCCUUCAAACUGUAGGUUCACAGUCCUCUUUACUUUCGGUUAUUCGGGGGCUCACUUGUUAUUGUAAAUUAAAUUAAAUACUCUGACUUACUGUAUUACAGUAUGUAUGAAUUUAUUUAGCUUUUA